rnacentral:rRNA from 1 species
AGAGCGAACGCUGGCGGCAGGCCUAACACAUGCAAGUCGAGCGCCCGUAGCAAUACGGGAGCGGCAGACGGGAUAGUAACACGUGGGAACGCGCCCUUCGGUUCGGAAUAACUCAGGGAAACUUGAGCUAAUACCGGAUACGCCCUUACGGGGAAAGAUUUAUUGCCGAAGGAACGGCCCGCGUCCGAUUAGCUAGUUGGUGAGGUAAUGGCUCACCAAGGCGACGAUCGGUAGCUGGUCUGAGAGGAUGACCAGCAUCACUGGGACUGAGACACGGCCCAGACUCCUACGGGAGGCAGCAGUGGGGAAUAUUGGACAAUGGGCGCAAGCCUGAUCCAGCCAUGCCGCGUGGAUGAUGAAGGCCUUAGGGUUGUAAAGUCCUUUUAACGGGGAAGAUAAUGACGGUACCCGUAGAAUAAGCCCGGCUAACUCGUGCCAGCAGCCGC